rnacentral:rRNA from 1 species
AUGCCUGAGGCUGGUUCAUUUGCGGCCUCCUCACGGUGGCCACGGCCAGCAGCGACAACGGGAUUGAUGGUGAAAUUGUCCGUGCCCAACGCCCACAAUCUCGCCUUCCACCCGCGUUUCAGCGCCGCAAGAACGUCGACCGCUGGUGGAACAAGGUCUUCCAGCGGGAGGCCUGGGCGUACGUCAAGAACCUGCAGCGCCUGCCGACGUCCGACGCAGUGCAGGACCAGCAGCAGCCGCGGUCCGGCGAGCCGUGCGACGGCAGUAGCAACAGCAACAACUACGAGCGCGACCAGUACACCGACGCGAGCGACGGCAGCCACAGCAACUACCAGCGCAACCAGUCCGGCGAGAAACAUACGACGGGCCGACGGCAGCAAGCACAGCAGCUACAAGUGCUGA